rnacentral:lncRNA from 1 species
CUCAGUUUUACAGUUUGUAGUUUCAAUUGCCUUUGAGUUGUUUUUUACUGAGUUGUUCACUAUGUUUGUGCUCUCAAAGUCUACAAAGCGUGUCGGUUUGAUUGUUCUUUUGGUUUUGCUUUUUACCAAAAAUUCGUCAGGUUUGAUAGCUGGGACCAAACCCUCAACCACUUUGUACAGAAAUACUAGUCUUUGGCUUGUUCUUCUGGACUGUAGGUUUUCAAGUUCCAGUACUGUUAGCAUUUUGGUGACCGAUCCUUCUUCUCUUGAUUUAUAGUCCCCUGUGAUGAAUCGAGCUGCUCUUCUUUGGAUUCU